rnacentral:misc_RNA from 1 species
UAAUAUUAAUCUUCACCUUUCAGUCAUUCAAUUAAUAUUUGUAAUCAAUACUAGGUGGGUACCAAUAUAUAGCAUGCAUUAAGAUCAUAAGAAAUUGAAUCAAAAAACAAAACUCAAAUCCGAUAAAUAAAACUCAAUAUUCAUCCAUAAUAAUAAUUACGAUUGUUACUCUCCCAAUUCCAGAAUAAAAAAUUAUUCACUCGUGAUGAGUUUAACAAACAUAAUAGAAA